rnacentral:rRNA from 1 species
UUAAAUUGAAGAGUUUGAUCAUGGCUCAGAUUGAACGCUGGCGGCAGGCCUAACACAUGCAAGUCGAACGGUAACAGAAGCAGCUUGCUGCUUUGCUGACGAGUGGCGGACGGGUGAGUAAUGUCUGGGAAACUGCCUGAUGGAGGGGGAUAACUACUGGAAACGGUAGCUAAUACCGCAUAACGUCGCAAGACCAAAGAGGGGGACCUUCGGGCCUCUUGCCAUCGGAUGUGCCCAGAUGGGAUUAGCUAGUAGGUGGGGUAAAGGCUCACCUAGGCGACGAUCCCUAGCUGGUCUGAGAGGAUGACCAGCCACACUGGAACUGAGACACGGUCCAGACUCCUACGGGAGGCAGCAGUGGGGAAUAUUGCACAAUGGGCGCAAGCCUGAUGCAGCCAUGCCGCGUGUAUGAAGAAGGCCUUCGGGUUGUAAAGUACUUUCAGCGGGGAGGAAGGGAGUAAAGUUAAUACCUUUGCUCAUUGACGUUACCCGCAGAAGAAGCACCGGCUAACUCCGUGCCAGCAGCCGCGGUAAUACGGAGGGUGCAAGCGUUAAUCGGAAUUACUGGGCGUAAAGCGCACGCAGGCGGUUUGUUAAGUCAGAUGUGAAAUCCCCGGGCUCAACCUGGGAACUGCAUCUGAUACUGGCAAGCUUGAGUCUCGUAGAGGGGGGUAGAAUUCCAGGUGUAGCGGUGAAAUGCGUAGAGAUCUGGAGGAAUACCGGUGGCGAAGGCGGCCCCCUGGACGAAGACUGACGCUCAGGUGCGAAAGCGUGGGGAGCAAACAGGAUUAGAUACCCUGGUAGUCCACGCCGUAAACGAUGUCGACUUGGAGGUUGUGCCCUUGAGGCGUGGCUUCCGGAGCUAACGCGUUAAGUCGACCGCCUGGGGAGUACGGCCGCAAGGUUAAAACUCAAAUGAAUUGACGGGGGCCCGCACAAGCGGUGGAGCAUGUGGUUUAAUUCGAUGCAACGCGAAGAACCUUACCUGGUCUUGACAUCCACGGAAGUUUUCAGAGAUGAGAAUGUGCCUUCGGGAACCGUGAGACAGGUGCUGCAUGGCUGUCGUCAGCUCGUGUUGUGAAAUGUUGGGUUAAGUCCCGCAACGAGCGCAACCCUUAUCCUUUGUUGCCAGCGGUCCGGCCGGGAACUCAAAGGAGACUGCCAGUGAUAAACUGGAGGAAGGUGGGGAUGACGUCAAGUCAUCAUGGCCCUUACGACCAGGGCUACACACGUGCUACAAUGGCGCAUACAAAGAGAAGCGACCUCGCGAGAGCAAGCGGACCUCAUAAAGUGCGUCGUAGUCCGGAUUGGAGUCUGCAACUCGACUCCAUGAAGUCGGAAUCGCUAGUAAUCGUGGAUCAGAAUGCCACGGUGAAUACGUUCCCGGGCCUUGUACACACCGCCCGUCACACCAUGGGAGUGGGUUGCAAAAGAAGUAGGUAGCUUAACCUUCGGGAGGGCGCUUACCACUUUGUGAUUCAUGACUGGGGUGAAGUCGUAACAAGGUAACCGUAGGGGAACCUGCGGUUGGAUCACCUCCUUACCUUAAAGAAGC